AUUGAACGCUGGCGGCAUGCUUUACACAUGCAGGUCGAACGGUAACAGGGUGCUUGCACCGCUGACGAGUGGCGAACGGGUGAGUAAUGCGUCGGAACGUGCCGAGUAGUGGGGGAUAACGCAGCGAAAGUUGUGCUAAUACCGCAUACGUACUGAGGUAGAAAGUGGGGGACCUUCGGGCCUCACGCUAUUCGAGCGGCCGACGUCCGAUUAGCUAGUAGGUGAGGUAAAGGCUCACCUAGGCGACGAUCAGUAGCGGGUCUGAGAGGAUGAUCCGCCACACUGGGACUGAGACACGGCCCAGACUCCGACGGGAGGCAGCAGUGGGGAAUUUUGGACAAUGGGCGAAAGCCUGAUCCAGCCAUGCCGCGUGUCUGAAGAAGGCCUUCGGGUUGUAAAGGACUUUUGUCAGGGAGGAAAUCCCUAGUGCUAAUAACACUGGGGGAUGACAGUACCUGAAGAAUAAGCACCGGCUAACUACGUGCCAGCCGCCGCGGUAA
rnacentral:rRNA from 1 species